rnacentral:rRNA from 1 species
GACGAACGCUGGCGGCGUGCUUAACACAUGCAAGUCGAACGGAAAGGCCCUGCUUUUGUGGGGUGCUCGAGUGGCGAACGGGUGAGUAACACGUGAGUAACCUGCCCUUGACUUUGGGAUAACUUCAGGAAACUGGGGCUAAUACCGGAUAGGGGCUCCUGCUGCAUGGUGGGGGUUGGAAAGUUUCGGCGGUUGGGGAUGGACUCGCGGCUUAUCAGCUUGUUGGUGGGGUAGUGGCUUACCAAGGCUUUGACGGGUAGCCGGCCUGAGAGGGUGACCGGCCACAUUGGGACUGAGAUACGGCCCAGACUCCUACGGGAGGCAGCAGUGGGGAAUAUUGCACAAUGGGCGGAAGCCUGAUGCAGCAACGCCGCGUGCGGGAUGACGGCCUUCGGGUUGUAAACCGCUUUCGCCUGUGACGAAGCGUGAGUGACGGUAAUGGGUAAAGAAGCACCGGCUAACUACGUGCCAGCAGCCGCGGUGAUACGUAGGGUGCGAGCGUUGUCCGGAUUUAUUGGGCGUAAAGGGCUCGUAGGUGGUUGAUCGCGUCGGAAGUGUAAUCUUGGGGCUUAACCCUGAGCGUGCUUUCGAUACGGGUUGACUUGAGGAAGGUAGGGGAGAAUGGAAUUCCUGGUGGAGCGGUGGAAUGCGCAGAUAUCAGGAGGAACACCAGUGGCGAAGGCGGUUCUCUGGGCCUUUCCUGACGCUGAGGAGCGAAAGCGUGGGGAGCGAACAGGCUUAGAUACCCUGGUAGUCCACGCUGUAAACGGUGGGUACUAGGUGUGGGGUCCAUUCCACGGGUUCCGUGCCGUAGCUAACGCUUUAAGUACCCCGCCUGGGGAGUACGGCCGCAAGGCUAAAACUCAAAGGAAUUGACGGGGCCCCGCACAAGCGGCGGAGCAUGCGGAUUAAUUCGAUGCAACGCGUAGAACCUUACCUGGGUUUGACAUGGAUCGGGAGUGCUCAGAGAUGGGUGUGCCUCUUUUGGGGUCGGUUCACAGGUGGUGCAUGGCUGUCGUCAGCUCGUGUCGUGAGAUGUUGGGUUAAGUCCCGCAACGAGCGCAACCCUUGUUCACUGUUGCCAGCACGUUAUGGUGGGGACUCAGUGGAGACCGCCGGGGUCAACUCGGAGGAAGGUGGGGAUGACGUCAAGUCAUCAUGCCCCUUAUGUCCAGGGCUUCACGCAUGCUACAAUGGCUGGUACAGAGAGUGGCGAGCCUGUGAGGGUGAGCGAAUCUCGGAAAGCCGGUCUCAGUUCGGAUUGGGGUCUGCAACUCGACCUCAUGAAGUCGGAGUCGCUAGUAAUCGCAGAUCAGCAACGCUGCGGUGAAUACGUUCCCGGG